rnacentral:ncRNA from 1 species
CCUGGUCUUGCUUAUAGUAUGACUGGGCCACACGCUUAUUAAUAGCACUCUUAAUUGAGUCAUGAAAUUCAAUCACAACAUUUAGUAAUUAUUAUAUGAAUGUGAAAAAUGAAGUGAUGAUGAUUUAUUUUUAAUUAAUGGGCUAUAUAUU